rnacentral:rRNA from 1 species
AGCAAUCUGCCUUGGAGUGGGGAAUAACGGCUGGAAACAGCCGCUAAUACCGCAUGACGCGUCUGGGAGGCAUCUCUCUGGACGCCAAAGAUUUAUCGCUACUGAGAUGAGCUCGCGUCUGAUUAGCUAGUUGGCGGGGUAACGGCCCACCAAGGCGACGAUCAGUAGCCGGACUGAGAGGUUGGCCGGCCACAUUGGGACUGAGACACGGCCCAGACUCCUACGGAAGGCAGCAG